rnacentral:lncRNA from 1 species
AUGGCAACUCUUGUGGCUGCAGCCCUGGAGUUGCCUGUUUCUGCCUCGGUGUGUUGUUUGCUCGUGAGCAGUGCCCUCCGUGCGCACAGCGUCGGUGCAGAGCAGCCGUUCCGCACCUUCCUGCGCCCUGCCCCCUGUUCGGUCCCCUGUGCAGUAGUUCCUGCAGUUAAAAUGAGCUUUACAGAGCAAGAGAAGCCAAUUUUGGGAGCAUGUUCACUGUGAUACCUUCAGUGAUUUCUGUUUCAAUACAUUCUCUUCAGGGCUAUGACUGUAACUGAUUAGGUAAGCAAAUAUACAUAGUCACAGCAUUUUUUUUAUCAAAAGUUUUUCCAGGUGACAAGUAAAUAAAUCUGAAAAAAAAAUAAGUUCUGCA